rnacentral:rRNA from 2 species
GCAGUCGACGAGCUUCCGUUGAUGACGUGCUUGCACUGAUUUCAACAAUGAAGCGAGUGGCGAACUGGUGAGUAACACGUGGGGAAUCUGCCCAGAAGCAGGGGAUAACACUUGGAAACAGGUGCUAAUACCGUAUAACAACAAAAUCCGCAUGGAUUUUGUUUGAAAGGUGGCUUCGGCUAUCACUUCUGGAUGAUCCCGCGGCGUAUUAGUUAGUUGGUGAGGUAAAGGCCCACCAAGACGAUGAUACGUAGCCGACCUGAGAGGGUAAUCGGCCACAUUGGGACUGAGACACGGCCCAAACUCCUACGGGAGGCAGCAGUAGGGAAUCUUCCACAAUGGACGAAAGUCUGAUGGAGCAAUGCCGCGUGAGUGAAGAAGGGUUUCGGCUCGUAAAACUCUGUUGUUAAAGAAGAACACCUUUGAGAGUAACUGUUCAAGGGUUGACGGUAUUUAACCAGAAAGCCACGGCUAACUACGUGCCAGCAGCCGCGGUAAUACGUAGGUGGCAAGCGUUGUCCGGAUUUAUUGGGCGUAAAGCGAGCGCAGGCGGUUUUUUAAGUCUGAUGUGAAAGCCUUCGGCUUAACCGGAGAAGUGCAUCGGAAACUGAGAGACUUGAGUGCAGAAGAGGACAGUGGAACUCCAUGUGUAGCGGUGGAAUGCGUAGAUAUAUGGAAGAACACCAGUGGCGAAAGCGGCUGUCUAGUCUGUAACUGACGCUGAGGCUCGAAAGCAUGGGUAGCGAACAGGAUUAGAUACCCUGGUAGUCCAUGCCGUAACGAUGAGUGCUAAGUGUUGGAUGGUUUCCGCCCUUCAGUGCUGCAGCUAACGCAUAAGC